GUGGACCAGGAGAAGUUAGCAGAUACGGUCUUCUUUCUCUGGACGGUUCACCUUUGGCUCAGUGCCCUACAGCUUGUAUACAGGAAAGAGAAUGCGUGAAAGUGAGCUCAGAUGUAACCUAAACCCAUGGAACUUGGAAAAAGAAGCAUCUGCCGAGAGGAGCGGGGUUGAUCUUGAUUUGCUUUCAGGGAGUUGCCACGGAGCUACUUAUACUUUCUUUGUCUAAGAAACAUUUAUUUUACAACCCACGGAGCAAUGCUGGGGAUGUAACUAUUUCUUGAUUGAUUCCUGUGGCACAGCAUCGUCUGCAGAGACCUGCAUUAUGUGAUAUUGAGAGUUAUUAUAAUAGCAAUGUGUGGAUAUUGGGUUACAAGGAGCCCUUCCCAUAAGAAUUUCUCAUAAAUCACAAAGGACACCUAUACUAAUGGAUGUCCCAGAGUGUAUGGAUGAGGGGACAUGGAAAUGAUACAUUCUAAUGAUUUUUCUCUACUUCUGGAGGUGCUGGCAGAUACCUAAAUCAUAUCAACAAGAAGUUUAUGGAAAAGAGAACUACAAUCAUCAUAAACCCAAUCAUGUUUUACUUGGUGUUGAAGGACAUUAAAAAAUACCUCCCACCUUAAUUUACUAAAUUAUCAAACAAAUCCUGUUCCCCGAUCUCAGAAGACCACCUGGCUCAGUAUCACAAAGCACCCUGAUUUCUCCCUCAUCUUGAGAUGUCAGGAUCCCUCAGAAAACUUCGUAGAGGUGCCCUGGUGGUGGCAUGCACCAAGAUCAGAUUGUUCUACCUGAGUUAAAGAUGUUCCUCCUGUUGCCUUUUGUGAAGCAGGAGAGAAUCAGAGCACCAGUGGAACAACAGGGGAUUGUCUCCUGGCUUGAUUCAGCUCUUCAGGCCCUGGAGAUGAAGUUCUGUGUCAGGCACCAAGCAUCUGUAUGCGGUAGGCAGCUGGAGGUCACUCUCUUGAUCACCUCUUGUGUGGACAAGUUUUCUUACAAGCAGAAGCCCAUCCCCAGGCAUCCUCUAGUGCUGACUGACGAGAUAGGAGCAAAACUCAUGCAACCUGCCUUUCAGAUGCAAAUAGAACAUUCCUAAGUCCUUUGAGGCACUCUGCCAAUGUG
rnacentral:lncRNA from 1 species